rnacentral:rRNA from 1 species
GACGAACGCUGGCGGCGUGCCUAAUACAUGCAAGUAGAACGCACAGUUUAUACCGUAGCUUGCUACACCAUAGACUGUGAGUUGCGAACGGGUGAGUAACGCGUAGGUAACCUGCCUGGUAGCGGGGGAUAACUAUUGGAAACGAUAGCUAAUACCGCAUAAUAUUGAUUAUUGCAUGAUAAUUGAUUGAAAGAUGCUAUUGCAUCACUACCAGAUGGACCUGCGUUGUAUUAGCUAGUAGGUGAGGUAACGGCUCACCUAGGCGACGAUACAUAGCCGACCUGAGAGGGUGAUCGGCCACACUGGGACUGAGACACGGCCCAGACUCCUACGGGAGGCAGCAGUAGGGAAUCUUAGGCAAUGGACGAAAGUCUGACCGAGCAACGCCGCGUGAGUGAAGAAGGUUUUCGGAUCGUAAAGCUCUGUUGUAAGAGAAGAACGGGUGUGAGAGUGGAAAGUUCACACUGUGACGGUAUCUUACCAGAAAGGGACGGCUAACUACGUG